UACGUAUGGUGCGAACGUUGUUCGGAAUCACUGGGCAUAAAGAGCACGUAGGCGGUUAAGCAAGUCCAUUGUGAAAUCCCCCGGCCUAACCGGGGAACUGCAUUGGAUACUACUUGACUUGAGUGCAGGAGGGGGAGAGUGGAAUUCCAGGUGGAGCGGUGAAAUGCGCAGAUAUCAGGAGGAACACCAAUGGCGAAAAGCAGCUUUCUGGGGACGGUACUGACGCUGAGGAGCGAAAAGCGUGGGGGAGCAAACAGGA
rnacentral:rRNA from 1 species